rnacentral:rRNA from 1 species
AUUGGGCAAUGGGCGCAAGCCUGACCCAGCCAUGCCGCGUGAAGGAUGAAUGCCCUCUGGGUUGUAAACUUCUUUUGUACGGGACAAAACUUUUGGUCGUUACCGAAAUUGAUUGUACCGUACGAAUAAGCAUCGGCUAACUCCGUGCCAGCAGCCGCGGUAAUACGGAGGAUGCGAGCGUUAUCCGGAUUCAUUGGGUUUAAAGGGUGCGUAGGCGGAAUAAUAAGUAAGUGGUGAAAGCUUGCGGCUUAACCGUAAAAUUGCCGUUGAUACUGUUAUUCUUGAGUCUAGUUGAAGUAGGCGGAAUGUGUAAUGUAGCGGUGAAAUGCUUAGAUAUUACACAGAACACCAAUUGCGAAGGCAGCUUACUAAGCUGUUACUGACGCUGAGGCACGAAAGCGUGGGGAGCAAACAGG